rnacentral:lncRNA from 1 species
GUGCAAACUGAAGCUCGAAGAGCGGAGCGGUGGCGCCGGGAUCCUAAUCUGUUAACCCAUCCUGUUAAGGAUCAUGACACACCAGAGGUGGAUGACCACUUGGCAGGGACAACUUGAUGCAGCACAUGCCUGUCCCGUGAUGGCAUCUGGACAUGCCAGGAAGAGUGGGCAUGGAGAGCGCACCACAGGCCUCUGGAACUGCAGCUCUCGUUGAGGACAAAAGAACAACCUUCUGAGCGCUGGGCGGGGCGCCUGCAGGAGGCGGGGCACUGAGGUGGGACCUGGGCUGGUGGGGCCGGGGCUGCCUCCUUCCCUUGUCCACUGAGGUCCCAUCUCCCUGCCAGAGGCUCCGGGCUUAAUUAAGCUGCCACUACCACUUGCAAUGUCACUUCUGAUAGACUCCAAGAGGGACCAAGGGACGAAGGUCACAGGAACCACAGCU